GACGAACGCUGGCGGCGUGCUUAACACAUGCAAGUCGAGCGGUAAGGCCCUUUCGGGGGUACACGAGCGGCGAACGGGUGAGUAACACGUGGGUGACCCUGCCCUCAGCUCUGGGAUAACACCGGGAAACCGGUGCUAAUACCGCAUACGAUCACGAUGUCUGCGGACGUUGUGAUGAAAGGAGCAAUUCGCUCUUAGAGGAGCCCGCGGCUGAUUAGCUAGUUGGGAGGUAAUGGCUCACCAAGGCUACGAUCAGUAUCCGGUCUGAGAGGACGGUCGGACACACUGGAACUGAGACACGGUCCAGACUCCUACGGGAGGC
rnacentral:rRNA from 1 species